rnacentral:rRNA from 1 species
GAUGAACGCUGGCGGCGUGCCUAAUACAUGCAAGUCGAGCGGUAAGGCUCCUUCGGGAGUACACGAGCGGCGGACGGGUGAGUAAUACGUAGGAACGUACCCCAAAGUGAGGAAUAACCAGCCGAAAGGUUGGCUAAUACCGCAUAUGCUCUACGGAGUAAAGCAGCAAUGCGCUUUGGGAACGGCCUGCGUCCGAUUAGCUAGUUGGUAAGGUAAAGGCUUACCGAGGCGACGAUCGGUAGCUGUUCUGAGAGGAUGAUCAGCCACACUGGAACUGAAACACGGCCCAGACUCCUGCGGGAGGCAGCAGUAGGGAAUUUUCCACAAUGGGCGAAGGCCUGAUGGGGCAACGCCGCGUGCAGGAUGAAGGCUUUAGGGUUGUAAACUGCUUUUAUCUGUGACGAUUAUGACAGUAGCAGAUGAAUAGGGAUCGGCUAACUCCGUGCCAGCCCCCGCCGAAA